AUGUUAGCCACUCGCCAGCACUCAGAGGGCCUUUCACACAGGAAAAAACGUGGUUCCUGCAGAUGGUUGCUGACAGCGGAGAUGGCACAGGAUGCAUGGAAGAGAGACACAACAAGGUCAAGUCAGGAGCCAAAGAGGAAGUGCCCGAGAAGGAGAUCCCCAAAUGAGGCCUGUGUCCAGGAGGUCACUAGAAGACUGGCUUCCACGCAUGCCAGGCCAUACUCUCCCUGCAAUCUGAAGGCGGAGGAUGUAACCAAUCUCAUAAGCCAUGUGUGGCUGAGGCAAUUGUCAGAGCUGUGAUGAGGGAAAUGCUCAUUAUUCUUCUAUCCUUCACUUAGCCAAUAAAGAACUUCUUAUAAUUCUUCCCCUAUGACAAAAUGGGACUGUGGUUUCGGAAAGUCGCAGGCAAGUUUGCUAGGGCCGCUGUAACUAAGCACCACAGACUGGGUGGCUUCGAGACUGAGUGGCUUCAACAGAAAGUUAUUGUUGCUCAAUUCGGGAAGCCAAAAGUCCAAAAUCAAGGUACUUGAGGGUUAGUUUGAUGAGAGGGCUGCAAGGGAAGGAUCUGUUCUAGACCUCUCUCCUAGGCUUGGAGGCCUUGGUCCUGAUAUUCACAGGGCAUCCUUCCUGUGCCUUCACAUCGUCUUCUCUCAGUGUAUCUCUGGGUCCAAAUUUCCCUAUUUUAAAAUAAGGAAAUCAGGAUCUCCGGGUCCAAAUUUCCCUAUUUUAAAAUCCUAUUGGGUUAGCGCCCCCACUCCCUUUAACUUGAUCACCUCUGUAAAGACCUUAUCGCCAAAUAAGAUCACAUCCCAGGUACUGAGGGUUAGGACCUCAUAUCUGAAUUCAGGGUGGGUGGGGGCACCAUUCAUUCCAUAACAAUAAGUGCACGAGGAAUCACACACUUGGGGAGAGUUCAAAGUGUGCAGAGCUGGUGGUCAUUGCCUAGCCUCAGGCCUUCGGAAAUCCCCUGAAUCUGGUUUUUUCAGUUCUCGUAAUCUCAUCUCACCAAAAUACGGUAUCUCAAUACAUUCCAUGCAUUUCUGGCGACAGCUCAUUCUGCUGCAUACUAAGCAAUGUGCGAACUGCGUCUUAAGUAGGGUGGUUUAACUGGUUUGGUUAACAGAUCUCGGAGGCAUUUCACCCAUUCCAUAAGCCUAAACAAAUCUAAUCCAGGUGUUUAAGACAUUGCACAAUAUUAGACUGUUUGAAGCUCCAUCUCCCUGAGGCAAUCUAGGUUGGUGAUGAAAGUGGCUGGUGACUGUUCUCAGUCUUGUCACCAUAACGGAAUCCUAUGUUGUGCUCCUCCAACCUGGUGUGAGGAACACUACUAAGUAAGACAGAGUUUGCACUCAGGAUAGAUAACUAUGGACUCAUGCACAGAUUCCAGCUGAGGCCCUCUGAUGUGCUAGGUACUAUGCCCAGUCCCCUGGAAUUCACCUGUAAGCAGGACAGUCUUUUGGAUGAGAGAGGAAAUUAUAUAUCCACAGGCAGAUGGAAUUUGCAAGUGGAAAGCCCUAGAGGUUCAGAGACAAGGGUACUGAACUUUUUCCUUUCAGUCAGAAUCUUUGCUCAUAGUUGUGCAAAUAUUUGUAUUGGUGGGUUUCCAUGCCAUACAACGUGCUAAAUAUUUUUACAUUACCCUUGCACAUAAGCAUGCUAUUGGGAAGGAAAAUGAAGAGGGUGGAGGUGGUAACAAACUCAAGCUAAAGAAAUGGGAUUUGAAUGGGUACAAAGCCCAGAGAAUUAGCUUGAGGAAAAUGAACCAGAAUUCACACAGGAGUUUUCAAACAUCUCAGUAUCAGGAUGCCUUUAUCCUCUUAAAACUUCGUGAGGCACUAAGUAUGUUUAUUGCAGCACUGUUCACAAUAGCAAAGACUUGGAACCAACCCAAAUGCCCAUCAAUGAUACACUGGAUAAAGAAAAUGUGACACAUAUACACCAUAGAAUACUCUGCAGCUAUAAAAAAGGAUGAGUUCAUGUCCUUUUCAGGGACAUGGAUGAAGCUGGAAACCAUCAUUCUCAGCAAAUUAACACAAGAACAGAAAACCAAACACCACAUGUUCUCAUUCAUAAGUGGGAGUCAAACAAUGAGAACACAUGGACACAGGGAGGGGAAUAUCACACACCCGGGCCUGUCAGGGGGUGGGGGCAAGGGAAGGUAGAGCAUUAGGAGAAAUACCUAAUGUAGAUGGGUUGAUGGGUGCAGCAAACCACCAUGACACAUGUAUACCUAUGUAACAAAUUUGCAUGUUCUAUACAUG
ensembl:lncRNA